rnacentral:rRNA from 1 species
GGUUGAUCCUGCCAGUCGUAUUCGCUUGAGUAAAAGAUUAAGCCAUGCAAGUUUAAAUACAAGGCCACAGCAAUGUAGGCCGAGAUUGCGAACGGCUCAUUAAAUCAGCAAUAAUAAAAUCGGUGAAGGGGAGAAAUCUCGACAUGGAUAACCGUGGAAAAUCUAGAGCUAAUACAUGCGAAGAAAAAGUCUCGUUAAGAGAAGCGUAUAUUAGAGGAAGAGCCAAUUUUUGAAAUAAAAAUCAAAGGUGAGUCAUAAUAUCCGAGCAGAUCGCGAGCCUUGUAAAAGGAAGCGACAAACCGAAUGAAUUUCUGCCCUAUCAACUUUGGACGGUAGCAUAGAGGGCUACGGUGGUUAUGACGGGUAACGGAGAAUUAGGGUUCGAUUCCGGAGAGGGGGCAUGAGAAAUGGCCACCACUUCCAAGGAAGGCAGCAGGCGCGUAAAUUAUCCAAUGGGGAAAUCCCGAGAUAGUGACAACAAAUAACAAUGGUGGCAUGUCAAAAAGUGCAACCAAUUGGAAUGAAGACAAGUUAAAGCUCUUACUGAGAAUCAAUUGGAGGGCAAGCCUGGUGCCAGCAGCCGCGGUAAUUCCAGCUCCAAUAGCGUAUAUUAAAGUUGUUGCAGUUAAAAAGCUCGUAGUUGAAUUUCGGGAUCAAUAUAUCGGUCGUGCCUUGGUACGUACUGGUAUCAUUGGUUUCUCCUUUCUGACGAACCGUGAUGUCAUUAAUUUGGUGUUAUGGGAAGUUAGGACUGUUACUUUGAAAAAAUUAGAGUGUUUAAAGCAGGCUUUAGCUUGAAUACAUUAGCAUGGAAUAAUGAAAUAGGACGUUCGAACCUAUUUUGUUGGUCUCUAGGAUCAACGUAAUGAUUAAUAGGGAUAGUUGGGGGCAUUAGUAUUCAAUUGUCAGAGGUGAAAUUCUUGGAUUUAUUGAAGACUAACUACUGCGAAAGCAUUUGCCAAGGAUGUUUUCAUUAAUCAAGAACGAAAGUUAGGGGAUCGAAGACGAUCAGAUACCGUCGUAGUCUUAACCAUAAACUAUGCCGACUAGGGAUCGGAUGAUGUUAAUUUUUUAAUGACUCAUUCGGCGCCUUACGGGAAACCAAAGUGUUUGGGUUCCGGGGGGAGUAUGGUCGCAAGGCUGAAACUUAAAGGAAUUGACGGAAGGGCACCACCAGGGGUGGAGCCUGCGGCUUAAUUUGACCCAACACGGGGAAACUCACCAGGUCCAGACAUAGUAAGGAUUGACAGAUUGAGAGCUCUUUCUUGAUUCUAUGGGUGGUGGUGCAUGGCCGUUCUUAGUUGGUGGAG